AUUGAACGCUGGCGGAAUGCUUUACACAUGCAAGUCGAACGGCAGCACGGGUGCUUGCACCUGGUGGCGAGUGGCGAACGGGUGAGUAAUACAUCGGAACGUACCCAGUUGUGGGGGAUAACGAGUCGAAAGAUUCGCUAAUACCGCAUACGACCUGAGGGUGAAAGCGGGGGACCGUAAGGCCUCGCGCAAUUGGAGCGGCCGAUGUCUGAUUAGCUAGUUGGUGGGGUAAAGGCUCACCAAGGCGACGAUCAGUAGCUGGUCUGAGAGGAUGAUCAGCCACACUGGAACUGAGACACGGUCCAGACUCCUACGGAGGCAGCAGUGGGGAAUUUUGGACAAUGGGGAAACCCUGAUCCAGCCAUUCCGCGUGAGUGAAGAAGGCCUCGGUUGUAAA
rnacentral:rRNA from 1 species